rnacentral:rRNA from 1 species
GACGAACGCUGGCGGCGCGCCUAACACAUGCAAGUCGAACGGAGUCACGAGGAGCUUGCUUUUCUUGACUUAGUGGCGAACGGGUGAGUAACGCGUGAGUAACCUGCCCUGGAGUGGGGGACAACAGUUGGAAACGACUGCUAAUACCGCAUAAGCCCACGGAUCCGCAUGGAUCUGCGGGAAAAGGAUUUAUUCGCUUCAGGAUGGACUCGCGUCCAAUUAGCUAGUUGGUGAGGUAACGGCCCACCAAGGCGACGAUUGGUAGCCGGACUGAGAGGUUGAACGGCCACAUUGGGACUGAGACACGGCCCAGACUCCUACGGGAGGCAGCAGUGGGGGAUAUUGCACAAUGGGGGAAACCCUGAUGCAGCGACGCCGCGUGGAGGAAGAAGGUUUUCGGAUUGUAAACUCCUGUCGUUAGGGACGAUAAUGACGGUACCUAACAAGAAAGCACCGGCUAACUACGUG